CCCAGUACCAUUUGAAUAGUCACUUUGGCCACUGCCUGCCCUGAUAUACGCUCAACAUCCCUCUCUGCCAGCCCUAACAUUUUUUGAAUCCCUCCCACUGUCCCCAAAACCUCUAGCCACUACCCCACAGCCCUAGCACUGCUCAACUCUCACCUCCCAAAGGCAGUCCAUCACUUUUAUGGCACUCUUAACUGCUGAACAACCUGCCACCUAACCCCACACUGCAGCAGCUGUCAGGCUCUGACUGUACUGCUGUGUAAAUCGUAGACUCAGCAAAACAAGAAAGUGUGGCUUGACGUUCCCCCCAUUACCCCUGAAACAGGGGAAACUUGUGUUCAUUUCAACUACACUCUGCAUUUCUGAUGGGGCUGGAAUCAGAAUUUCUAGCUAGAAAUGUGAAGCUCAGUACUAACAUUAAAAAAGAAUGAGUGGAGUAGCGAUCACAUCAGAAUAUCCGGGCCAGUGUAUUAAAUGCAGACACUCCUGUUGUUAUUGGUAUCAUUUACAACUGAACGAUGAGUUUCUUAACUGCAGCAGUGGCACACACUGUCUGGAACAUGUCAAAUAAAGAAUUGACCAGGUAAAUUCUCCUGCAUGCUACAAAAAAUAACAAAUGUGGAACUUAUUGAUUCAGUGUGAACUACUCUGCAGUAAAUGGACAUAUAGGGUCUGCGCCUAAACUACUGUGGGUAUAAUGCAUGGCUUCUGGUCUAAACAGAGCAAGGUUAUUAGCAGUUAAGUAGAGGGAGGAUAGUUUGAUAUUCUGGGUCAGGUUCCUUGUGAGAUAACUGUUCUCUUGAUGCUGUUUUUCAUAAUCUGAUAGACCUAUAAUACACUGUUAUUUUCUACUUUAUUUUACAUCUCGAUCCUAUGUGAUUUAACCAUUCUGUCCUCUCUCGUAUAAUAAAUGGCAAAGUUUCACCGUAUUUAUCAGACUUCAAAAAUCACAGGAUGGGAAGAGAUAAUCACAGUUAAAUCAAAGAUUCCAGAAGACGACCUGACAGCAACAUCUCAGGACAAUUUAGAAAUUUGAAAAACAGCAACAAAGCUAAGCAAUGCUGGAACCUCGAUCUGUAACUUAGAGUCAUUGUACAGUUAAUUUGCUGGCGAUUGUUAUCCUUUCCCAGGGAAAGUGUGGUGUUUCCCAUUGCAGUACUUGCUACAUGGUGUUUAAGGCAGCUGCCAAUCUGAUGGUCAUUAUCACUGAGGUUAUACUGUGGAGAUUUCGCUCUUAUUACUACCUGCUGUUUUUUUCCUGGACAUCACUCCUGUGUGCAGUGUUACUGGGGUCCUGCGCUGUGUAGCCAGGGACGGCUGUAUCUGGUUCACCGUCACUUUCUCCUUUGACAGAUUUGUGACCAUUUAUUGUCAGAAGCUAAAAACAAAAUAUUGCUCUGAGAAAACUGAUUGUGUGGUUCUAGCAAAAACCUGCAUCCUGCUCUGUUUGAAAAACACCCCCUUCUGUUUUCACUAUGAACAUCAGGGGAUAAUCAACAAUGUGCCAUUCUACUGUAAAACAAAAUCAACCUACUAUACUGAGACUUGGUGGCAAUAGAUUGGCUUGAUAUGGUUUUAACCCCUUUUACUGCCAUUCGCUUUAAUUCUGUCGCUCAAUGCUGUGACACACAUUUUAGUGACCAGUCGAGUCCAGAAGAGGCUGAAGGGUGAGAGCAAGGGAGAGAAUCGCAGAGACCCAGAGAUCAGAAGGAAGUCUGUGAUUUUGCUUUUCACCAUCUCUGGGAGCUUCAUCCUGCUGUGGUUAAUGUAUGUUGUACAUUUCUUAUAUUAUGUCAUUCUAGAUAUCAAACCUGCAAAUUACUCACCUUUUCUACAUAACUUCAGAAGAAUUGGGUUUAUGCUACAGAAUCUAAGUUGUUGCAUAAAUAAUAGUGUUUGUGCAGCAACAUUGUCUAGGUUCAGAGCGAAGAUCAGUAAUGCAGUAAAAUACAUGGUUGUACGAAAUCCUUGUGUUGUGAAUAAACAAAACUCCUGAGUGAAGCCCACAGGUGAAUCCUAUUGUUUCCAGAGCAUGAAAUAUUUUUAUUCAUCUGUGGAUGUGGAUGUUGCUGUUUGGUCCAGACUUUAAUUGCUGAAGCCUAGUUGCCCCUUGAGAAGAUGGUGGUGAGUUGCCUUCUUGAAUACUGUAGUCCAAGUGUUAGACCCGUAAUGCCCUUCGGGAGGGAAUUUCAGAAUUUUGACCCAGCAUCCAAGUCGAA